GUUAAUAGUGAGCUAGGAGCUCCCCCCAAGGAAGAGUUGGCUGGCCUGCCUGUGUUACCUGAAUGGCAUCGACCAUACCCUGCACGGAACUUGGGGAAUCUCGUCCCACCAGAAGUUUUGCCACUGCUCUUGAGAAUGCUCAGCAUCAAUCCAGCUAACAGGAUUUCUGCUCAAGAGUGCCUGGAUGAUCUGUUCUUUUUCCCACAAGAAUAGGAGCAUCAACCUUGAUAGGAGGAAGCUAUAUAUGAUCUCCGAGUUACACAGAGUUCAGUGUCUUUCAAAAGUGGCUUGUUGUCUCCCAGUAAAUUUAGUUCUCUGCUAUAAAAAUCUAAGACAUUUGUCAUGUUAGACUAUUUUGUUGCGGUACUAAUUAUCUGUGUAGUUCUGUUAGUUUUAGUCAUGGAUGAGAGUUCGAGUUAUGGAUGAUGCAUUUUUCCCACUGCUAUUCGUCUAGUUGAGAUUAGUUAUAAACACCUCUGGAAUGAGAUUAGUUACGUAGUUUGUCCGUUUACUUUGAUGACAAGGCUAGCAACUUUGGUUUGCAAUGCAG